AUGUUAAAAAUUGAUUUAGCUAAGGCUUUUGAUAGAAUAGAAUGGCAUUGCAUUGUUUCAGCUCUCGCACGCAAGGGGCUAGGUCAUUUCAUAAAACUGAUUCAUGCUUGCAUCUCUUCGCCAAUGUUCUCUGUCAUCAUUAAUGACCAAUCAUAUGCUAAAUUUAAUGGCUCCAGAGGCAUCAGACAGGGUUGUCCUUUGUCGCCAUAUCUUUUUGUCCUUGCAUUGAAUGAACUAUUACAGCUACAGGAAGCUUUGCAAGCCAAUCAUCUCACAGGCAUUUUACUUGGACCAAAUUGCCCCCCUAUUCACUCUCUCAUGUUUGCAGAUGACCUUAUCGCUUGCGGGAAAGUUAACAUGUGUGAAGCUCAAACUAUCUCUAAUAUUUUACGUCAAUUCUGUGAAAACCCAGGUCAGAUUCCUAAUUGGAGUAAGUCUGGUAUCCUUUUUAGUAAGAAUUUUCCUUUGCCGGAUAGAGAGAAUAUUAAAAGAAUCUUUCCAGCCCCAAAUAUUGACAAUUCCUUUGUACAUCUAGGACACCCUCUUAUUUUGCCAUCUAAAGACAGAUCAACGGCUUAUGGUUUUAUUUAUGAUAAAUUCAAGUCAAAACUCUCCAGCUACAAAGCUAAUCGAUUAUCCCAUGCAGCGAGACUUACCCUCAUUAAAUCAGUUUUCGCCUCAAUUUCUGUCUACUACAUGUCAAAUAUUCUCUUCUCAAAAAAAUUCCUAAGUAAGCUAACAGCUAUCAUUAGGAAUUUCUAG
rnacentral:rRNA from 1 species